rnacentral:rRNA from 1 species
GUAACGCGUGGGUAACCUGCCUUGUACAGGGGGAUAACAGUUGGAAACGGCUGCUAAUACCGCAUAAGCGCACGGCAUCGCAUGAUGCAGUGUGAAAAACUCCGGUGGUAUAAGAUGGACCCGCGUUGGAUUAGCUAGUUGGUGAGGUAACGGCCCACCAAGGCGACGAUCCAUAGCCGACCUGAGAGGGUGACCGGCCACAUUGGGACUGAGACACGGCCCAAACUCCUACGGGAGGCAGCAGUGGGGAAUAUUGCACAAUGGGCGAAAGCCUGAUGCAGCGACGCCGCGUGAGCGAAGAAGUAUUUCGGUAUGUAAAGCUCUAUCAGCAGGGAAGAUAAUGACGGUACCUGACUAAGAAGCACCGGCUAAAUACGUGCCAGCAGCCGCGGUAAUACGUAUGGUGCAAGCGUUAUCCGGAUUUACUGGGUGUAAAGGGAGCGCAGGCGGUGCGGCAAGUCUGAUGUGAAAGCCCGGGGCUCAACCCCGGUACUGCAUUGGAAACUGUCGUACUAGAGUGUCGGAGGGGUAAGCGGAAUUCCUAGUGUAGCGGUGAAAUGCGUAGAUAUUAGGAGGAACACCAGUGGCGAAGGCGGCUUACUGGACGAUAACUGACGCUGAGGC